rnacentral:rRNA from 1 species
AACGAACGCUGGCGGCAGGCCUAACACAUGCAAGUCGAGCGCACUCUUCGGAGUGAGCGGCGGACGGGUUAGUAACGCGUGGGAACGUGCCCAGAUCUAAGGAAUAGCCACUGGAAACGGUGAGUAAUACCUUAUACGCCCUUCGGGGGAAAGAUUUAUCGGAUUUGGAUCGGCCCGCGUUAGAUUAGAUAGUUGGUGGGUAACGCCUACAAGUCUACGAUCUAUAGCUGGUUUUAGAGGAUGAUCAGCAACACUGGGACUGAGACACGGCCCAGACUCCUACGGGAGCAGCAGUGGGGAAUCUUAGACAAUGGCGCAAGCCUGAUCUAGCCAUGCCGCGUGAGUGAUGAAGGCCUUAGGGUCUAAAGCUCUUUCGCCAGGGAUG